rnacentral:rRNA from 1 species
CCGAGAAUAUUCGACAAUGGGCGAAAGCCUGAUCGAGCGAUACCGCGUGGUGGAUGAAGUGCUUCGGCACGUAAACAUCUUUUAUGAGGGAGGAAGUUAUUGACGUUACCUCAUGAAUAAGGGGCUCCUAACUCUGUGCCAGCAGGAGCGGUAAUACAGAGGCCCCAAGCAUUACCCGGAAUUACUGGGCGUAAAGGGUGCGUAGGUGGUCAUAUUAGUCGAUCGUUAAAUAUCCAGGGCUCAACCUUGGAAACCCGAUCGAAACGGUAUGACUCGAGGGAGUGAGAGGUGAAUGGAACUCAUGGUGUAGGGGUGAAAUCCGUUGAUAUCAUGGGGAACACCGAAAGCGAAGGCAAUUCACUGGCACUUUCCUGACACUCAAGCACGAAAGCGUGGGUAGCGAACGGGAUUAGAUACCCCCGUAGUCC